UACAGAGGUCUCAAGCGUUGUUCGGAUUCAUUGGGCGUAAAGAGUGUGUAGGUGGCGAUUUAAGUGAGAUGCGAAAUUCCAGGGCUCAACCCUGCGAACUGUAUUUCAUACUGAAUUGCUAGAGGUCAUCAGAGGUUAGUGGAAUUUGCGGUGUAGGAGUGAAAUCCGUAGAUAUCGCAAGGAACACCAAUGGCGAAGGCAGCUAACUGGGAUGCACCUGACACUGAGACACGAAAGCGUGGGGAGCGAACGGG
rnacentral:rRNA from 1 species